UACGGGGGGGGGCAAGCGUUGUUCGGAAUUACUGGGCGUAAAGCGCGCGUAGGCGGCUUUGCAAGUCGGGUGUGAAAUCCCCAGGCUUAACCUGGGAACUGCAUUCGAGACUGCAUUGCUAGAGUAUGGGAGAGGGAAGUGGAAUUUCCGGUGUAGCGGUGAAAUGCGUAGAUAUCAGGAGGAACACCGGUGGCGAAGGCGCCACUCUGGGCCGGUACUGACGCUGAGGAGCGAAAGCGUGGGGAGCAAACAGG
rnacentral:rRNA from 1 species